GGUGCUCGAGCUGUGGUGCGUGCCGCUAAGUUGUGCGUUCCAGGGUGCACUCGCCGGCGAGGCUGCACGGCGCCGGUUUCAUUGCUAAAAUCCGACGGACUUGUUGCAGAACUCGUUUUUUUUGUCGGGAAAGGGCUUCCCCGUGUAACUUUACAGCAGUUAUCGUAGAUAAGACUUGCAAAUUACAGAUGUGGACGGUGAGGGAACGGGAAUUUCACUGAAAGCGCCUGAGAACCAGUAAGAGACCUGCAACAGCUUUGUGCUCCACUGGCGAAUGCUUCCUCCCCUAAUACACAUUAUGUGUGCUUGGAGACACAAGGAGUAAGAUACAGCCCCUCAAGGGACUCGUCAUAGGGAGAGGACACAGCUUUGGGAAUAAAGGGGCCACAAAGGAGGAGAGAGGAGUUUGCUGAAACUUCCCAAGCUCCCAUUCCAGCAGUUCCUGAAGGAUUCAUUUCUCUCUGAGGAUCUCAUGAGGUGGCUUAGCAGCUAGAAUCUCUUCCUUAACAGUGGGAAGAACAACUCCUGGAAAUUUAGGUCGACUUUGACUGGAUUUAAAAGAAAGCUGUACAAUUCCACUUCUGUAUAUACAACCAAAGGAAAUGAGAUGUGCAUACCCAUGUUCAAUGAAGCAUUAUUCACAAUAGCCAAAAUGUGGAACCAAUCCUUAAACAAAAGGAAAACAGAAAAUCUGCUCAAGUCCCUGCAGGCACCUGAGAAAAUCACAACCCACACUUGCGAACCCCUAGGAGACCUAAAGCUGUGGUUUUACAAAUAAACAGAUAAGUAACAUUCCUACUCUUUCCUAUAGGUACUCAAUCUUCUUAACAACUCCCAUCCCACACAGGUUUGCAUCCCCAGCAGAUACAUAUGGCUAUGUGGUCACCCAUUCGAUCAGCCUAUAAAAGACUUGUCUUAUUUGAUAUUGUGAAACCCAUGGUUAUCAGUGUAUAUGAAAAUGUUUGGUUCAGGGGUCAAUGUACAAUAUGACAAGCAAAGUCCUCUAAUACACAGUUAUAUAAAAUCACUCACCUGAGAGCCAAGUGGACAAUUGGCCUUAUAUUGGCUGGAGUUGGAGCCCCAGAGGGAAAAUUUGCCUAUUAUUAGGCAACUCUUCAAAACUUUACUUAUUCGUUUCUAAACACUGUCUCAUAAAAUGGGGGAUGCUUUAGAUGAAUUAAGAUUAGCACUAGAUUACUUAUUCGUUGAAAAUUAGCACUAGAUUUCUUAUUGGUUGAACAAGGAGGAGUGUGCACCAUAAUCAAUAUAACCUGCUGCAGUUAUGUAAACACCUCAGGUCACAUAGAAGAAGAUAUACAGAAAAUACAUGAACAAGCUGUGUGGUUGCGUAAAUAUAACCAAGGCACCAAUCCCAACUGUAUCUGGUCAGCCAUUAGAAGCACCCUCCUGAGUCUCACUUGGUUGUUGCCCUUCCUAGGAACUUUGAUAGUUGUCUUAUUAUUAAUCUUUGGCCCUUGCUUGUUUAAAUUCUUGGUAAAGUUUGUGUUUUUUAGAUUACAACAAUUCCACAUAAAGAUGAUACUGACACAAAGCUUCCAAUCCAUCCCGUCUUCUGAACCGGGAAAUAAAGACACCCUGCCUUUAGGUGUCUUUAGAUCUAGAUCAGGCAUCUAGAGAUUUUUACUCCUCCAAUACUUGGCAGGGUCUAUGCCCGUAGACUCAUCAGGAUACCAUGUAAAUGAGGACCUCCCUUGGUACCCCAGAGGCCAACUGUAGACCCUUAUGAGAAAAUCCUGUCCCCAAAAUGAACAUCCACUGUCAGCAGGAAGAAGUUACAGAAGACCAGCCUUUGCCCUUACGAUUAAGGGUCCUCUUGUAAGUAGAGAGGGGAAUGUUAGGAAAGCAGGAGCCUAGGUGAUCCAGAGUGACACCAUUUUAAAAUAAACUCCACCUGAAAACUAGCAAGGCAUCUGCACACAUCUGUUUAGCAAGUAUAUACUUCUGUAACUGGAAUAAAAAGCGUUAUUUUAGAAUAUGCCUAUAGUUUGUAAUAAUUAGCCGAGGGAAAAAAAGUUCACAUUGGUGUAGGAAAAGUGCCCUAAUGGUCAUGGGUAAUAAUGGGACCGUGGUUCUGGUCAGUGAUUUGAUGGAAGGGGUGUAGAUAAUAUAUUGUUGUAAAUAAUAAAAAUAAAAAAUUGUUGUAAGUAAUAAAAAUAAAAUAAUAUUGUUGUAAGUAAUAAAGUAGGAGAAAUAUUUGGUCUUUUGCUUUUGGGUUAGUGCAACAGUAGUACCAUUACUUGGAGGAGAAGUUAGAGAAGGACAAGAAUAGGCUUGAAUAAGAUGAGUGAGAAGAGAGAAAAAUUCCGUAAGUGGAGAUGGCCAGGGAACACCAGGGCAGCAGAAUCUAACUCUGAAUUUAAUGCUGUUGUCUGUUCAUAUUGCACUGCGCUGUAAUCUCCCUAUCUUUCCUAAACCAUUGGCAAAGUCUGCUAUCCACUGGGGCCUUGGGUCGGUGGUGCUUUGGGAAAUACCAGAAGAGGGAAAGUACGGCAAAUGUGCAGUGUCACAGAUGAUAGGAGGAAAGCUGGCCAGUGGGAUGAUUAAAACAAUUUCGGUGGGAGUGGGAAUUCAGACCAUGUAAAUGGUCUGAAUUAAGAAAAUUUCAAGAAACAAAAAAUGUUUCUAAUGAGCCAAAGUGAAAGCUCUUCAUGAUUUCUUUAUAGAGGCUCUCUAGUGCUUGUCCUAAUUUCCUGAAAUCUCAUGGGUAUCUUACUCUCCUGGUGCCCGCCUCAAACAUUCACUGUAGCAAUUAUAUGAGCAGCCUAGAGAAUCCCAAUCCCAGUGGUCUUGCUCCCUGGAUCUACUUUCUCUUAAAAAUCAUUCCCCUAAGUUUCCGUCACUUGGUUGAAGUUUAGUAGAUAUCUCCACAUCUCCAGCUAGAACAGCACCAGAAUUUCAGGACUAGGGCAAUAGAGUCUGAUAUUAAAUUCUAUUUCUAUCUAUCUAUCUAUCAUCUAUCUAUCUAUCUAUCUAUCUAUCUAUCUAUCUAUCUAUCUAUCUACAGAACAAUUUGUGGGAUAGUAGCUUUGGGGUCCCAGAUCUAGGAUGGGCCUGGUCCUCCAUGCUGGUUCUCCUGGGUGAUAUUUCUGUUAGUUUGAACAGUAAUCACACUUUUAUUACUGUUUCAUCUUUUUUUUUUCACUCUUAGACUGAUUUUAUCAUGUGUAUAAAACAUACACACACCUACAUCUCAAGGAUAAACAUUAAUCCUUGAAAAAUAUGUGGUCUAAAACUAUAUUGAGGAGAGAAAGAUAGGACACUUUAAUUGCCACAUGAUUAACACGAGGUCACCACACAGCUUUCACAAAUCUACAAGUCAUUCUAUUUAGGCUGAGUCAAGUUCUCCCUUGGGCCAGCCAGAGCACAAAUAAUGGAGCAAUGUGACUCUUCAAUGACAGAUCUCUGAUUUCCAGAAAAGAGACUUUGAAAUACCCAAUUCUAGUAAAUAUGCAAUUAAAUUUCCAGCUAAAUGACCUUUGCUCCUGUAGUCUUCAUCUUGGGGAAGGGAAAGAAGUCUUAUUCUGUUUAAUAGUUUGAUUUUUAUAAUAGGGUUUGUCUCUGUUAUAAAUCUUGUUUGAUAUUUAAAAUGUUAGCUAAGAGAAAACUUCUGUUUGUUUUUAUUUAGUGGGAAGAAACUAACCCUCAUUGAGUGCCUAGUUAACAUCAGGCACUUUGUACACAUAAUCAAUUGAAUCUUGACCACAACCCUGUGAGGUGAAAAAUGAGAAGAUUAAAUAAGCCAUGGGAAGAUUUUUUAAAAUGACAUGAAACUCCAAGGGUAAAAAGUAGAUAGUGAGAUUGAGACUGACACCGAGCAUUGCCUGGGAAUCACAUAAGAUAAUGCAGGCUGGGAAAUCUUAGGAUGGUGAACCAUCAUGUUUCCUGAAUGUGAAUCCUGUACCUGGUUUGACUGUAGUCACCCCUUCUCCAACACUCUCCACGAUGCCGGCUGCCUCAUGGCCUAAAAUCACAGGAAGUGGGGUCACCAUGGUACCACUAACCACGUGGUCAUCUGUGCCACAGAUUCCUACAGCCACCAUCUACAGAGUGAAGAGAAGAUGUUUAUAAAAGAUUGUGAGUCUCAGGAUGUUCAACAUGAUCAAUGCCAAAUAAAUAUCAGAAUACUUGGAAGUAAAGUACUAAUAGUAGGAGUUCCUGAUUAUCAGGUGCCUAUGAUGUGACAGGCACAUUGUGGCCUGUGCUCGACCAGGAGACUGGUGAGUCCUUGUGGAUUUCUUCCCUGCUCAAGUGCAUAAAGCAGGUGUAUUGCAUAGCUUUUCCAGGCUGAGAUCAAAGACGGAGAUGUGCCUACCCGCAGAUCCUAGAUGGCCAUGUUUGCAACAGAGGUAAUGAUGAGCAGUGCGAAGAUGUGACUCCAAAGCCUGGAGAAGGACAGACCAGCAUCCCUGCAAGAGAUCCAACUGUCUUCUUUUCCGCAGAGGUCCAUAAUUUACAUGGGCCUGACAAAGAAUACUGUAACUUGCAGAAAUUAUCUUCAGUUCAAAUCCUUCAUUUUGGGGGUUAAAUAACUUGCCCAAGAUGUCGAGGGAGCGGAAAUACUUGCUGGUCUUGCAGCGGCUGUGGAGCCUGGAAUCCUGCCAAGAAGAGCAUGUGUGAGAGAUCAAAAUGUUUGCUUACAUUCCUCCUGUGAAGGGAGUUGGGAAAUAACCUAAGAAGCCCAAUCCAAAAACAAAGAUGUACCAUCCAGUCUUCUCUGUGAGAACCAAACUACAAACCAUCUGAAUGUUCCAAAAGUGUUUUGAUGAUGUAUUGAUGUAUUUUAAAUUAUCCUGAAAAUGUUCUUGGCAGAUGCUUAAACAUGUAAUUACUGAGAUGAUGUAGAAAUACCAAGUGUUUAUUAAAACAAUACAGAGUAAUACAAAUGGUAUGUUUGUCGCAAUAUAAAAGUAUCUAAAAAUUAAAGAGUUCUUUAAUGGUGGAGAUUGUUUUCCUUUUUGAAGUUAAAAUAUAAAUUUUUGUAAAAAGCACAAAUUAUUACUAUUUAUAGCUAACAUUUAUGGAGUGCUGACUAUGCUCAUUUUUGAGCAUACAUUGCCUCAUUUAGUGCAAUGUUUAGCAUUAACUUAUGAGGUAAAUGCCAUUGCCAUGCACAUUGUACAGAUGAAGACAUUGAGGUUUAGAGAGAUUGCAU
rnacentral:lncRNA from 10 species